AUGGACAUGAGGGCCCCUGCUCAGCUCCUCGGGCUCCUGCUGCUCUGGUUACCAGGUGCCAGAUGUAACAUCCAGAUGACCCAGUCUCCCUCUUCCCUGUCUGCAUCUCUGAGUGACAGAGUAACCAUCACUUGUAGGGCAAAUCAUGAUAUUAAGAAGUAUUUAUGCUGGUUCCAGCAGAAACCAGGGAAAGCUCCUAAGCUCCUGAUCCACAGAGAAUCCAACUUGGCAGAUGGAGUCCCUACAAGGUUCAGUGGCAGUGGGUCUGGGACAAAUUAUUCUCUCACCAUCAGCAGCCUGGAGUCUGAAGAUAUUGUGACUUAUUACUGUCUACAGACUGAUAAGCUUCCUCCUACAGUGAUAUAA